rnacentral:rRNA from 1 species
GACUGCUAGUCGUGCGCUUCAGCCAAAACGAGGCGCGGCAUACAGCUCAGUAACACGUGGCUAAUCUGCCCUUGGGACGAGAACAACCCCGGGAAACUGGGGCUAAUUCUCGAUAGGUGAAGAACUCUGGAAUGAGUCUUCGCUUAAAAAACUUCACGUUAUGCUCGUGAAGUCGCCCAAGGAUGAGGCCGCGACCGAUCAGGUUGUUGGUGAGGUAAUGGCUCACCAAGCCUUUUACCGGUGCGGGCCGUGAGAGCGGGAGCCCGGAGAUGGGCACUGAGACAAGGGCCCAGGCCCUACGGGGCGCAGCAGUCGCGAAAACUUUGCAAUACACGAAAGUGUGACAGGGCUAUCCCGAGUGCCAUCCGCUGAGGAAGGCUUUUACCCAGUAUAGAUCGCUGGGGGAAUAAGGAGAGGGCAAGUCUGGUGUCAGCCGCCGCGGUAAUACCAGCUCUCCGAGUGGUGUGGAUGUUUAUUGGGCCUAAAGCAUCCGUAGCUGGCUAAGUUAGUCCCUUGUUAAAUCCACCGAAUUAAUCGUUGGAUUGCGGGGGAUACUGCUUGGCUAGGGGACGAGAGAGGCAGACGGUAUUUCCGGGGUAGGGGUGAAAUCCUAUAAUCCCGGGAAGACCACCAGUGGCGAAGGCUGUCUGCUAGAACGCGCCCGACGGUGAGGGAUGAAAGCUGGGGGAGCGAACCGGAUUAGAUACCCGGGUAGUCCCAGCUGUAAACGAUGCAGGCUAGGUGUUUGGACGGCCACGUGCCGUUCUAGUGCCGCAGGGAAGCUGUUAAGCCUGCCGCCUGGGGAGUACGAUCGCAAGAUUGAAACUUAA